GAUGAACGCUAGCGGCAGGCUUAACACAUGCAAGUCGUGGGGCAGCGCGAGGUAGCAAUACUUUGGCGGCGACCGGCAAACGGGUGCGGAACACGUACGCAACCUUCCUCAGAGCGGGGAAUAGCCUCUCGAAAAGAGAGAUUAAUACCCCAUAGUAUCUCGAAACUGCAUGGUUUUGAGAUUAAAGCUUCGGCACUUUGAGAUGGGCGUGCGGCUGAUUAGGUAGUUGGUAGGGUAACGGCCUACCAAGCCAACGAUCAGUAGCUGAUGUGAGAGCAUGAUCAGCCACACGGGCACUGAGACACGGGCCCGACUCCUACGGGAGGCAGCAGUGAGGAAUAUUGGUCCAAUGGAGGAAACUCUGAACCAGCCAUGCCGCGUGAAGGAUGAAGGUCCUCUGGA
rnacentral:rRNA from 1 species